GAUGAACGCUAGCGGCAGGCCUAACACAUGCAAGUCGAGGGGUAACUAGAGUGAUAGCAAUAUUACUUUGGCUAGACCGGCGCACGGGUGCGUAACACGUAUGCAACCUACCUUAUACUGGGGAAUAACUUCGAGAAAUCGGCGCUAAUACCCCAUAACAUUGCGAAGAGGCAUCUCUUUGCAAUUAAAGCUCCGGCGGUAUAAGAUGGGCAUGCGUCCAAUUAACUAGUUGGUGAGGUAACGGCUCACCAAGGCUACGAUUGGUAGGGGUUCUGAGAGGAUGAUCCCCCACACUGGUACUGAGACACGGACCAGACUCCUACGGGAGGCAGCAGUGAGGAAUAUUGCGCAAUGGACGAAAGUCUGACGCAGCCAUGCCGCGUGCAGGGUGACGGCCCUAUGGGUUGUAAACUGCUUUUGUACGGGAAUAAACCCUUCUACGUGUAGGAGGCUGAAGGUACCGUAAGAAUAAGCACCGGCUAACUCCGUGCCAGCCGCCGCGGUAA
rnacentral:rRNA from 1 species